AGAGGGACCUUGCGUUACUUAGUGUUGUGGUGCCAAAUGUGAACUAUUUUCCUGUUGUGAGACUUUCUUCUGCAAUUGAUAAGCCUCCUGAAACCAUUGUUGUUUUGGUUGGAUAUUAUCAUCCGGCUAAUGCCUUGGCAAAGGAGUUAGGUGAAAGGAAUCUUCUUCCUACUAUGCCUUCAGCUGUUGCUGGAACUAUUCUAGGACCAACGGUGAAUCAGGGUAAAAUGUUAUUGGUUAAUCACGGCUGCCAUGGCAUGAGAGGUACCUCAGGAAGCCCUCUUAUAUGUCAUGAUACUGGUGGUGCUAUUGGUGUGUUUCUAGGAACUGUGAGUCAGUAUCAUCAGGCUGUCGCUACUGAAACUGUCAUUGAGUUCUUGAAAGAGUGGCUUGUGGCUAAUCAUGCCAUUGUGAACAACGAUGAUGGCAUCAAUGAUACAGUUGAAAACUGUGUGAAGCUUCUCUAGUGUUGUGGUUGUCUUGAUCAAAAUCAUAUCCGAGAAGAGGUGGAUGAUGAAAACGAGGCUACCGCUGCAACAUGUGUGAACCUCACUUAACCUUGAACUGUGCUUUGCUCCUCUGUGCCCGGAUAAUAUUAGGUUGAAACACAUAAACUGAAAUCAUGGUUUUCUCAUUUAUUUAUGUAAUAAUAAUAUUAGGCUGAACCACUUAACUAGCCAUGUGAUAGCCAUGUGAUGUGUUUGAGUAUCUUUCAAUUAUCCUGAGUCUAUGUACUGUAAUGUAUUAGAACCUUGUUGUGGUUGAGAUUGUUGAACUGAUGUAUCUGUAACUGUAGUUUAUGGCACAUGGAAGCAAAGUAAUUGAUGGCUCGGUCUAA